AUGCGCGCCGGGCCAUCGGGGUGGAGGCUCAGCGCCGGGGGAGUACCCAUUCCCCCGUUGCCCGAAGCCGUGGUGAAGCCGAAGUACUUCGCCGAGGAGGUCGAGAUCGUGCACGCGUCCCUCACCGAUGCCCAACUCUCCCUCCCCCAGUACGCCGCCGACAACCACGCGGCCUGGGCGGCGUAUUUCGAGCGCCGCCAGCAGCAGCGAUUGGCGUCCACCAACGGCGCGCCGGUGGUCGGCGGCCGGCAGAACAGCGAGGGGUGCCACCUCUGGUGGGGCGUCCCCGGCCGCACACUCGAGGGCAUGCUCACGUACCUCAAGGGCGGCAACGACCCGCCGUUGGCGUACCCCCCGGCGCAGCACCGACGCGUCGGGCCAUGGGCGCCAAGGAGGUUCGGCUCCUCCUCCUCCUCUUCUUCCUCCCGAUCCUCCUCGCACUCCUCCGGCACUCCGGCCCUGCUCGGCGUCAAGGCCGAGCCCGCGGCGGAGUCGCCGCUCGGCCGGCGCACUCGCAGCGCCGGCAUCGUCAUCAACGAGGGCGGCCGGCGCGCCUCGUCCUCGUGGGCUCCUCCGCGCUUCGUCAAGCCAAAGACGGAGCCGGGGCUGGCGCCGGUGAAGACAGAGCCGGGGCUUGCGCCGGUGAAGGCGGAGUUCGACGACGACGACGCGGCCCUAGAAUGGGCGCGCCAGGACUCCAUUGCGAUGGAGAAGGCGCGCCGGGAGAAGGUGAAGGAGCGCCAGCGUGUCGCCCUGCGCCGCUUCAAAGAGCGCCGACGCGGCCGCGAUGAAGACGGGGUCGUCGUCCUACGCGACAGCGACGACGACGACGACGACGCGCCGCCGCCAGUCCGCCAUGGCGACGCCGGGUCCAGCAGGGGCGCCCGCGUCAAGGAGGAGAAGGCCAACGACGACGACGAUGGCGGCGACGACUUCAGCACCUUUCUUUUUUAG
rnacentral:rRNA from 1 species